GGGGUGAAGCCUGCGGUUCAAUUGGAGUCAACGCCAGGAAACUUACCAGGAGAGACAGCAGGUUGAGGGUCAGUCUGAAGAACUUACCUGACGAGCUGAGAGGAGGUGCAUGGCCGUCGCCAGCUCGUGCCGUGAGGCGUCCUGUUAAGUCAGGCAACGAGCGAGACCCCUAUCGGUAAUUGCUAACUGCCCAGAGAUGGGCAGAGGCUAGUUACAGAGACUGCCGUUGAUAAAACGGAGGAAGGAAGGGGCCACGGCAGGUCAGUAUGCCCCGAAACUCCUGGGCCACACGCGGGCUGCAAUGGUAGGGACAAUAGGUUCCGACCUCGAAAGAGGAAGGCAAUCCCCAAACCCUACCCCAGUUGUGAUCGAGGAUUGAAACCCGUCCUCGUGAAUAUGGAAUCCCUAGUAACCGCGUGUCAUCACCGCGCGGUGAAUACGUCCCUGCUCCUUGU
rnacentral:rRNA from 1 species